AUACGGAGGGAGCGAGCGUUAAUCGGAAUUACUGGGCGUAAAGCGCGCGUAGGCGGCUUUGUAAGUCGGAUGUGAAAGCCCUGGGCUUAACCUGGGAAUGGCAUUCGAUACUGCAUGGCUAGAGUAUGGUAGAGGGAAGUGGAAUUUCCGGUGUAGCGGUGAAAUGCGUAGAUAUCGGAAGGAACACCAGUGGCGAAGGCGACUUCCUGGGCCAAUACUGACGCUGAGGUGCGAAAGCGUGGGGAGCAAACAGGAUUAGAAACCCCAGUAGUCC
rnacentral:rRNA from 1 species